rnacentral:rRNA from 1 species
GAUGAACGCUAGCUACAGGCUUAACACAUGCAAGUCGAGGGGAAACGACAUCGAAAGCUUGCUUUUGAUGGGCGUCGACCGGCGCACGGGUGAGUAACGCGUAUCCAACCUGCCCAUCACUUGGGAAUAACCUUGCGAAAGUAAGACUAAUACCCAAUGACAUCCCACGAAGACAUCUGAAUGGGAUUAAAGAUUUAUCGGUGAUGGAUGGGGAUGCGUCUGAUUAGCUUGUUGGCGGGGUAACGGCCCACCAAGGCAACGAUCAGUAGGGGUUCUGAGAGGAAGGUCCCCCACAUUGGAACUGAGACACGGUCCAAACUCCUACGGGAGGCAGCAGUGAGGAAUAUUGGUCAAUGGGCGAGAGCCUGAACCAGCCAAGUAGCGUGCAGGAGGACGGCCCUAUGGGUUGUAAACUGCUUUUAUAAGGGAAUAAAGUGGGUCUCGUGAGACUUUUUGCAUGUACCUUAUGAAUAAGGACCGGCUAAUUCCGUG